GAGGAAUCUAUUUUUGCUCGCACCACGUUCUCACGCUUAAGUUUUCUCAUUUGAGCUAAAACAUGGACAUGGUCAAUGUGACGUGUGCAGAGAUUCAGACUCCAGUGGGUUUUCUGUAUAUGAUUCUGCCUGUUCUACUGAAUCACACCAACAAUCCAGACUGCGAUCAGAGCUGGUAUUUACAGAAAAAUUUGAUUGCACAUUCUCAAACACUGAUUGAUCCUGCGAUAUCUGUCUCAUCUGAUCGUCU